rnacentral:rRNA from 1 species
AUUGAACGCUGGCGGCAGGCCUAACACAUGCAAGUCGAACGAGUGGCGGACGGGUGAGUAAUGUCUGGGAAACUGCCUGAUGGAGGGGGAUAACUACUGGAAACGGUAGCUAAUACCGCAUACCAUCAGAUGUGCCCAGAUUGGCUUAGCUAGUUGGUGGGGUAACGGCUCACCAAGGCGACGCGCCCUAGCUGGUCUGAGAGGAUGACCAGCAACACGGGAACUGAGACACGGUCCAGACGCCUAAGGUAGGCAGCAGUGGGGAAUAUUGCACAAUGGGCGCAAGCCGGAUGCAGCCAUGCCGCGUGUAUGAAGAAGGCCUUCGGGUUGUAAAGUACGUUCAGCGGGGAGGCGUUACCCGCAGAAGAAGCACCGGCUAACUCCGUGCCAGCAGCCGCGGUAAUUC